UCGAGAAUCUUUCGCAAUGGGCGCAAGCCUGACGAAGCGACGCCGUGUGAGCGAAGAAGGCCUUCGGGUUGUAAAGCUCUUUCGCUAGGGAACAAGAGAAUUGGGAUAACACCCCGAUAAUUUGAUGGUACUUGGUAAAGAAGCACCGGCUAACUCCGUGCCAGCAGCUGCGGUAAUACGGAGGGUGCAAGCAUUGAUCGGAAUUACUGGGCGUAAAGGGCGCGUAGGCGGCACUAUAAGUCUGAUGUGAAAUUCCGUGGCUCAACCACGGAGCUGCAUUAGAAACUAUGGAGCUAGAGUACAGUUAGGGAAAACGGAAUUCCACAUGUAGCGGUGAAAUGCGUAGAUAUGUGGAGGAACACCGGUGGUGAAGACGGUUUUCUGGGCUGAAACUGACGCUGAGGCGCGAAAGCAUGGGGAGCAAACAGGAUUAGAUACCCGGGUAGUCC
rnacentral:rRNA from 1 species